UAGGGAAUCUUCGGCAAUGGACGAAAGUCUGACCGAGCAACGCCGCGCGAGUGAAGAAGGUUUUCGGACCGUAAAACUCUGUUGUUAGAGAAGAACAAGGACGUUAGUAACUGAACGUCCCCUGACGGUAUCUAACCAGAAAGCCACGGCUAACUACGUGCCAGCAGCCGCGGUAAUACGUAGGUGGCAAGCGUUGUCCGGAUUUAUUGGGCGUAAAGCGAGCGCAGGCGGUUUCUUAAGUCUGAUGUGAAAGCCCCCGGCUCAACCGGGGAGGGUCAUUGGAAACUGGGGGACUUGGGUGCAGAGGAGGAGAGUGGAAUUCCAUGUGUGGCGGUGAAAUGCGUAGAUAUAUGGAGGAACACCAGGGGCGAAGGGGGCUCUCUGGUCUGUAACUGACGCUGAGGCUCGAAAGCGUGGGGAGCAAACAGG
rnacentral:rRNA from 1 species